CAUGACCUUGCUCAAGCGGUUCAGGCCGCCUCAUGUCAGAAGUUACACGACAGAGUCGUUGUAAGCAUACGUUUCCCACGAAUUAUCCGGUAUGACGUGCUCGAAGGAAACUGUAUAUGGAUCAGCCUGUGACAACCUGCUAAGAAAUCAGAACUGGUAAUGAUGCUACUUGUGUGUCCUGACGCUGAAAAUACAGUCUCUGUGUUGCACUUCAUCAGUAGGCCUAGUCUGUGUAUACUUUCUCAGAUAAAAACCCUGUCAGUAGUGUGUACUUAUCAUAAAAAUAUACUAUUAGCACAUUUUAUGAUAAAUAAACAAAAGUUUUAAAUA